rnacentral:sRNA from 12 species
UGCCCUUGUAUGGUGGUGGUAGUGGAAACGCCCACACAGUUACUCGAAUGACUGAGGACACCUAAACAGGGGCUUU